rnacentral:rRNA from 1 species
GAUGAACGCUGGCGGCGUGCCUAAUACAUGCAAGUCGAGCGAAUGGAUUAAGAGCUCGCUCUUAUGAAGUUAGCGGCGGACGGGUGAGUAACACGUGGGUAACCUGCCCAUAAGACUGGGAUAACUCCGGGAAACCGGGGCUAAUACCGGAUAACAUUUUGAACCGCAUGGUUCGAAAUUGAAAGGCGGCUUCGGCUGUCACUUAUGGAUGGACCCGCGUCGCAUUAGCUAGUUGGUGAGGUAACGGCUCACCAAGGCAACGAUGCGUAGCCGACCUGAGAGGGUGAUCGGCCAACCUGGGACUGAGACACGGCCCAGACUCCUACGGGAGGCAGCAGUAGGGAAUCUUCCGCAAUAGACGAAAGUCUGACGGAGCGACGCCGCGUGAGUGAUGAAGGCUUUCGGGUCGUAAAACUCUGUUGUUAGGGAAGAACAAGUGCUAGUUGAAUAAGCUGGCACCUUGACGGUACCUAACCAGAAAGCCACGGCUAACUACGUGCCAGCAGCCGCCGUAA